rnacentral:tRNA from 1 species
UGGCUUAGAGAGUAAAGCAUCUGCCUGCAAUGCAGGAGGCCCGGGUUCGAUCCCUGG